rnacentral:rRNA from 1 species
CGAAAAGUACUAUCAAUUAAAUAAAAUGGUGAAACAAAGAAUAGCGAAGAAGAAGCAAAUGCGCUUCACGCUAAUUCCAAGUACCAACACAAAACAAAUUCAAUGUUUGGUGAAGCAACUUGCUUAGUGGCGGACGGGUGAGUAACGCGUGAACAAUCCUGCCCCGUACAAAGGGAUAGCCUCGGGAAACCGGGAUUAAAACCAUAUAACACUUAACUGCCGCAUGGUAGUGAAGUCAAAUCGAUUAAGAGGUAUGGGAUGAGUUCGCGUCUGAUUAGCUAGUUGGUGAGGUAAGGGCUCACCAAGGCGACGAUCAGUAGCCGGCCUGAGAGGGUGAACGGCCACACUGGAACUGAGACACGGUCCAGACUCCUACGGGAGGCAGCAGUGGGGAAUAUUGCACAAUGGAGGGAACUCUGAUGCAGCGACGCCGCGUGAGUGAAGAAGGUCUUCGGAUCGUAAAACUCUGUCCUUGGUGAAGAAAAGGACGGUAGCCAAGGAGGAAGCCCCGGCUAACUACGUG